GACGAACGCUGGCGGCGUGCUUAACACAUGCAAGUCGAGCGGUAAGGCCCUUUCGGGGGUACACGAGCGGCGAACGGGUGAGUAACACGUGGGUGACCUGCCCUCAGCUCUGGGAUAAGCCUGGGAAACCGGGUCUAAUACCGGAUAUGACUCCAUGACGCAUGUUGUGGGGUGGAAAGCCUUGUGCGGCUGAGGAUGGGCCCGCGGCCUAUCAGCUUGUUGGUGGGGUGANGGCCUACCAAGGCGACGACGGGUAGCCGGCCUGAGAGGGCGGCCGGCCACACUGGGACUGAGACACGGCCCAGACUCCUACGGGAGGCAGCAGUGGGGAAUCUUGCGCAAUGGGCGAAAGCCUGACGCAGCGACGCCGCGUGAGGGA
rnacentral:rRNA from 1 species